AUAAAGUUGGCAGAUAUAUGUGGAUGAUUUAGGAUUAUUUUAUAAAAGAUUUUAGCUUUUACUUUAUA
rnacentral:tRNA from 1 species